rnacentral:rRNA from 1 species
AGAGUUUGAUCCUGGCUCAGAAUCAACGCUGGCGGCGUGCCUUAUACAUGCAAGUCGAGCGCGAAAGUGGACUUCGGUCCACGAGUAGAGCGGCGAACGGGUGAGUAACGCGUGGGUGAUCUACCCUCGAGUGGGGAAUAACACCGGGAAACUGGUGCUAAUACCGCAUGACAUCUUCGGUUCGAUCCGAAGAUCAAAGCUGGGGACCUAAAGGCCUGGCGCUUGAGGAGGAGCCCGCGUCCGAUUAGCUUGUUGGUGGGGUAAUGGCCUACCAAGGCUUCGAUCGGUAGCCGGCCUGAGAGGGCGGACGGCCACACUGGGACUGAGACACGGCCCAGACUUCUACGGGAGGCAGCAGUAAGGAAUUUUUCGCAAUGGGGGAAACCCUGACGAAGCAACGCCGCGUGGAGGAUGAAGGCCCUCGGGUCGUAAACUCCUGUCAAUCGGGAAGAAUGCACACGGGCCAAUACCCCGUUGUGUUGACUGUACCGGUGGAGGAAGCCACGGCUAACUCUGUGCCAGCAGCCGCGGUAAGACAGAGGUGGCAAGCGUUGUUCGGAAUUACUGGGCGUAAAGGGCGCGCAGGCGGUUCGUCAAGUCCCGUGUGAAAGCCCCCGGCUCAACUGGGGAAUUGCGCGGGAAACUAGCGAGCUUGANUUCGGGAGANGGAAGCGGAAUUCCGGGUGUNNCGGUGAAAUGCGCANAUAUCCGGANGAACAUCAGUGGCGAANGCGGCUUCCUGGACCNAUANUGACNCUGANGCCCGAAAGCC